rnacentral:lncRNA from 1 species
UGGUGGCUGAAUCGGUAAAGAAUCCACCUGCAGGGCAGGAGACCUGGGUUCAAUCCCUGGGUCAGGAAGAACCCCUGGAGAAGGGAAUGGCAACCCACUCCAGUAUUCUUGCCUGAAGAAUCCCAUGGGCAGAGGAACCUGGUGGACUACAGUCCAUGGGGUCGCAAGCAUUGGACACGACUUAACGACUAAACCACUUACCACCAUGGACAGUACUUUUCACCACUAGAAUUGUAAAUCUUUAGAUCUGCAGUAGCCCCUUAACUUCUCCCAUUUCUUUGCAGGAAGAAGUAAAGCAUCUCCUGAAGCAUGUGACCCUUUGGCCUUCUGAGUAACCCCAGUCCUGAAGGAUGUGGCCGACAGCCCAGGUGCCACGGUUUCCAAGUCCCGUGGAUGUCUUUGUCCACCUGCCAGAACAUGAGUGUGCUACAUUUGAAUUCAAAUUCAUCCAUGACUGUGUAAGUGGAAAUUGAGCUGAAACACACCUAGACAUUUGUAAUGACAUGGAUGAACGUGGAGGACAUGAUGUAAGAGGCAAAGCCAGGACCUUAGGCUCCCCACCUCUGAGGAAGAACACUGCAUCAGCACUUCCAGAAGAAUGUGCCAAUCAAGGAAGGAAAUGUCAUCACCCCGGUUGCUCUCCAUGGUACUUAUGCCUUUCAAAAUAUUGAUAGCAGGCCCUUGUGAACAAGAGGUCAUCUGGAAAGCUAUCUUGGGAGCUCUUCAAAGCCAGCCGUCUCCAUGAAUUUCCUUAUGAUCCAGUGAGAGGAGGAAGCAAAGAAAGACGUGUUGUUUGGGGUUGUUACAAGCUCUGUUCCACCCAAACUCUCUCGAUCUAGGGGUGGAAAAUUCAGCUAGUCUCCAGUUUAGAGCUAUUUUUCUAGGACUAAUAAAUGGUAUUUCCUAAAUUGUUAAGAUUAUUAAACAAGGGGCAUCAUAGAGGUCUUCCCAGCCAGAUGCCCAGAGAAGGAAAUUACUAAAUAGCAUCCUGAGAGAGGAAGAUGGCUUUAUGAAGAAAAAAAAAUAAAAAGAUUUGAUUCUAUUUCCAUUCAGAUUAUUAGCCUCUUACUCAUGUAUAUAUUUAUUCACCUUUUCAACAAAUAUAUACUGAGUAUCUAUUCUUGGUGCUGCUGCUGCUGCUGCUAAGUUGCUUCAGUCAUGUCCAAAUAGUAUUGAAUAACACAAUGUACCUGUCAACAUGGGACAGAUAUAUAUAUA